GCCUUGCUCUAUUGCUCGUUGGCACUGAGGGAAGCUCUCUGGGGAGAGGAGCCCACCAAUGCUUGGCUGACAAGACCUCAGUCAUGUCUGAUGUGGCUUCACCUUUGCUGCCGUCUUCGUAUCACUAGGGGAGCCCUGUGGAGUGGGGUGGAGUUCAAGAUGGAUUCUCAAGAAGUUAUAGGAAGCUCUUUAUCAAUUCAAUUCCUGAGAAGGGCCCACUUCAGGGAUGUUACAGUGCAGACAAAGAUUCUGGUGCCUCACAAGAUUUGACACAAGCCAGCGCUUUGUUGUUUUUCUCACCUGUUGGCCAGAAGAUUAUCUUGGAGCAGGAAAAGCCAAGUGGAAGAAGCCAAGUGAAGGGCUAUGGGGACCUAGAAGAUGGAGUCGUCACACAGUGGAAGAAUUGCAGAUCUCUGAGUCACCAUUUGGACAAGAACCUACUAGAACAGGUGCCUGAACAAGAACACUGGACUUUGUACAGGACCUGGACUAGCUUAGACGAAUGAGGCACUUGCCUCUG
rnacentral:lncRNA from 1 species